UCUAGCGGUGUGAGGCAUUUUAAGUUUUGAUCUUAAAGGUUAUUCUGGAUUUUUAUUAGAUA
rnacentral:tRNA from 1 species